GGCUAACGCUGGCGGCGUGUCUUAGCCAUGCAAGUCGAGCGGACUUAUGGGGUAACUUAUAAGUCAGCGGCGGACGGCGGAGUAACACGUAGCUAACCUACCCUCUGGACGGGGAUAACCUACCGAAAGGUGGGCUAAUACCCGAUGUAGUCAUCCUGUAUAGGGGUGGUGAAAGGUGGGCUUCUGUUUACAAGCUCAUGCUGGAGGAGGGGCUGCGGCCUAUCAGGUAGUUGGUAGGGUAAUAGCCUACCAAGUCGAUGACGGGUAGCCGGCCUGAGAGGGUGACCGGCCCGAGGGGCACUGAGAUACGGGUCCCACUCCUACGGGAGGCAGCAGGCUAGAAAUUUGGGCAAUGGGGGAAACCCUGACCCAGUGACGCCGCGUGCAGGAAGGAGCCCUUCGGGGUGUAAACUGCUGUCGUGUAGGGAGAAGGGUACUAAAGGUGAACAAUCUUAGUACUUGACGGUACUACAGGAGGAAGCCCAGGCUAACCUCGUG
rnacentral:rRNA from 1 species